rnacentral:rRNA from 1 species
AUGGGUCUAGCCAAGGUUUUAUGUGUUCUUAAUCUACUCUUUCAUCAAUCUCCAUGGAUCCUAUUGUUAUUAGUUUUCCAGUGCUCAAAUUUACCUGCUCUGUAUGAUAACCCAAGUGUGUCGUUGCCUACACAAACUAAUGAGCAAGAAUUAGUCUACCAUUCAUGUUUUUUCAUCUUUACGUAUUAUUUUGUUGUAAUACAGAAAGAUGGACAUCUGACACUGCUUGUAGAUGUAGUGAAGGUACUCCUGGACCAUGAUCCAUCCCUUGGGAAAACGUUUGCCCAAUCAAAAUGUGACUCCUCUGAUUUGCGGCAAUUAGAGGCCACCUCAAGGUAG